CAUGCAUGUUUAGUUGACAUACAUAGGAUUGUCAAAGCGCAACUAUUGCUCGCGUUAAUAUUUGUACAAAGCUAAGCGUAUAUGUACAUAUGUAUAUAUACAUUUAGUAAUAUAUGUAAAUGCUGGUGUGUACAAUGUCAAAAAAUAUUUAUACAAAAUAUCAUUUCGUACUAAACCUCUCUUUGAUCCGUGAUUACGUACUCGUAUGUACAUAGCACUUUAUCAAAUACGUGUUUUUAAAACAUAGAGCAUAGACCUGAUUUAAUGGUUUUUGCUUAUGUUCAAAUAAUUAUGUAAUACUGAGUUUAUAUUGUAAUAAUAUUACGUAGUGAACAAUGGAAUAAUGCAGAAUUUGCAUAGUAAAAAUUUGUGAUGUUCUGCUUUUAACUUCUCUUAAACACCGUUUAUUUUAUUGAAGACAAUACAAAAAAACCGAGUACCAGAACACAUGCAGAAUUAAUAUAGUGAAAUAACACAAACCAAAACGGUUUAAAUUCAUCAAUAUUCAGCUGCUUUAAGUUUAUACUCUAAAGGGAUGAUAAUAGACAAUGACGAAUACGAAACUUUCUCAUUUUCCUUAAUUGGUUGCGAUGGAGGUCAGUGAAUUAUGAACAGCUGAUAUCACAAAAGCGGGCUGCCAGAAAUAAACCAACUAAAAGUUACUGACAAAUCAAUGAGAAACGAAAUUUCAAGGAACGUGCUUUUUUAUUUUGAAAUUCCCCAAAACGGACUGGCAAUAUAACCGCGCACCCACCAUAACCGGACACAUUUCAUAAUUGGGCUACUACCCCGCACGAAAUACGUGUAAAAAUUUAACGAUGGGCAUGGCCCCGCCCACUUUUAGAGGAAACCACAUACAUAUCUUGGGACCAGCCCGACCGAUUUCACUCAAUUUCGGCAUAUAGCAUUCACAUAUAACACAAUUUGAAAUUCCUUCUCAUGCUUUCAGAUUCCAGUAUAAAAUUAGAACAAAUAUUAAUAUAACUCGACAAAACUCUGCACGAAUAAUGCCAUUUUAUGACCAAAACUUUCCAAGUCGAACUAAAAYUGUUUAAGCCUCUGGCUACCGGAUAUGUGGAUCUCAGUGUGUAUAGUUGACUUUUAACGAAAAGAUCGGUCAAUGUGAGUAGUAUGUAAUUUUAAUUCGAAAAUAAUCCUUUUUUGAAAAAUAUAGGCUGAAUCGGUUCAAUACUGCUCUUAGCACCA